CUUCAGUGUCUGUUUGGAGUGACUCAUAAUAGUCAUAAUCUGCUAAAAACAUAAUCUGUUUAAAAAAAAACAAAUAAAAUUUAGAAAAACUUGACUUUGGGCAUUUGGCCUUAGCUGUCUACAGUUCAUGGAUAAUCUUUCCUGUGUUACUUUAUAACUUUAAUCCCCACCUUUGCCCUCCAUAUAUUGUCUACAAGUAAAACAACAGCCUGUAAAAAGGCUGCCUUUUUAUUCAGAUUAAUAACAUCCUAAAUCAUGGUCCUCUUCUCAGCAUUUUAUUUCAGACUACAGGAUUCCAAAAACUUUUGUAACUAACACAUCAGGAACGGUAAUACCUGGAAACUCCCCUUACAGUUUGUCAAAGGUAAUUUUCUAUGCUCUGAGUGAAUCAACUCUUGUAAAUUAGGUAUUUCUCCACUUACAUCACAGUUCUCUGGCAGGUAUCUAUACCCAUUGGAAAUUAUGCAGAUUCUCAACUUUUCUUUGAACAAAAAUGUCCUGGAAUGGAAAAUUCACCAUUUUAUUUCCUUACAAUAGAACUAUGCUCGAAGGGAAACACCACCUGUUCCUAGCAGAUGGUAAAUUAGCAUUGAAAAAGAUCACCUGUACUGGAAACCCCCCCUAUUUUCUAAUUCUACCACCAGGAGGUAAAUCAGCACUGUAAGUCACAACGAGGUGCCACCCGACUUAGCACUUGCUGAUGUUUCAGUAGCAUCCCCAUAGCGCAUGCUGCUAAGCGUCCAUUCUCUUAUAGCAGUGCCUAUUCAUCACCCUUACAAGAAUUGUGCCAAGCCUGUGUCAUAGCAAAAUGGAUUUGGAGAAGGACUUGCAUCCUGCUAUGCUCUGACAUCUACCCAGUUCUAUGACUGUUUUGGGAACAGCUACACCUCAGGAAGUGUAAUGCAGCUGCGCAAUGGCUCUGUGAGUACAUGAUGAUGGACAACGCCAGGGGCUCAGCAUGUUCCUGCUCUGCACAGUAUCAGAUCAUUUGGCCUGCCAAACAGUCAUGUGCAUUGGAUAGGGCAGUAGUCCCCAGCCCCAGCUUCGUGUCACCUCACUCUACAUUUCUGCAGAAGAUUUAUUCAGAAGACACUGAAGAGUAACAUGCCUUCCAGUGGUCUAAAUAAAAAAAAGACUGCCUUGCA
rnacentral:lncRNA from 1 species